rnacentral:rRNA from 1 species
GACGAACGCUGGCGGCGUGCUUAAUACAUGCAAGUCGAGCGAGGUUACUGUUUCGGAUCCCUUCGGGGUGAAGAAGCUUUAACCUAGCGGCGGACGGGUGAGUAACGCGUGGGUAACCUACCCCAAAGUCCGGGAUAACAGCGGGAAACCGCUGCUAAUACCGGAUGCCCUUACCUUGGGGCAUCUUGAGGUAAAGAAAGGUAACGCUUUGGGAUGGGCCCGCGUCCCAUUAGCUAGUUGGUGAGGUAACGGCUCACCAAGGCGACGAUGGGUAGCCGGCCUGAGAGGGUGGACGGCCACACUGGGACUGAGACACGGCCCAGACUCCUACGGGAGGCAGCAGUAGGGAAUAUUGCGCAAUGGACGGAAGUCUGACGCAGCGACGCCGCGUGAGCGAUGAAGGUCUUCGGAUCGUAAAGCUCUGUCCUUGGGGAAGAAGGCGAAAGCUUGACAGUACCCAAGAAGAAAGCCCCGGCUAACUACGUG